rnacentral:rRNA from 1 species
UAUCAAAGGUGAGCCAGUACAGGAUGGACCCGCGUCUGAUUAGCUAGUUGGUAAGGUAACGGCUUACCAAGGCGACGAUCAGUAGCCGACCUGAGAGGGUGAUCGGCCACAUUGGAACUGAGACACGGUCCAAACUCCUACGGGAGGCAGCAGUGGGGAAUAUUGCACAAUGGGCGAAAGCCUGAUGCAGCAACGCCGCGUGAGUGAUGAAGGCCUUCGGGUCGGAAAACUCUGUCCUCAAGGAAGAUAAUGACGGUACUUGAGGAGGAAGCCCCGGCUAACUACGUGCCAGCAGCCGCGGUAAUACGUAGGGGGCUAGCGUUAUCCGGAUUUACUGGGCGUAAAGGGUGCGUAGG